UACGGAGGGUGCAAGCAUUAAUCGGAAUUAUUGGGCGUAAAGGGCGCGUAGGCGGGUGGGAAAGUCAGAUGUGAAAUUUCGGAGCUCAACUUCGAAGCUGCAUUUGAAACUAUCUAUCUGGAGGAUAGGCGGAGAAAACGGAAUUCCACGUGUAGCGGUGAAAUGCGUAGAGAUGUGGAAGAACACCUGUGGCGAAAGCGGUUUUCUAGCUUACGCCUGACGCUGAGGCGCGAAAGCAAGGGGAGCAAACAGG
rnacentral:rRNA from 1 species